GGCUCGAUGAGCAGAUCGGUAGAGCGAGUCCGCCGCAGGCGGAUUAACCGCUAGGUUGUAGGUUCGAGUCCUACUCGAGGAGCCA
rnacentral:tRNA from 1 species